rnacentral:rRNA from 1 species
CCUACGGGGGGCAGCAGUGGGGGAUAUUGCACAAUGGGGGAAACCCUGAUGCAGCGACGCCGCGUGGGCGAAGAAGUAUUUCGGUAUGUAAAGCCCUAUCAGCAGGGAAGAAGAAAUGACGGUACCUGAGUAAGAAGCACCGGCUAAAUACGUGCCAGCAGCCGCAGUAAUACGUAUGGUGCAAGCGUUAUCCGGAUUUACUGGGUGUAAAGGGAGCGCAGGCUGCACGGCAAGCCUGAUGUGAAAGCCCGGGGCCCAACCGCGGGACUGCAUUGGGAACUACCGGGCUGGAGUACCGGAGAGGUAGGCGGAAUUCCUAGUGUAGCGGUGAAAUGCGUAGAUAUUAGGAGGAACACCAGUGGCGAAGGCGGCUUACUGGACUGUAACUGACGUUGAGGCUCGAAAGCGUGGGGAGCAAACAGGAUUAGAUACCCCUGUAGUC